rnacentral:sRNA from 1 species
AGCAGCCGCGGUAAUUCCAGCUCCAAUAGCGUAUAUUAAAGUUGUUGCAGUUAAAAAGCUCGUAGUUGAAUUUCGGGGUCAGUAGGUCGGUCGUGCCACAGGUAUGCACUGGUCUCACUGAUUCCUCCUUCCUGAUGAACCGUAAUGCCAUUAAUUUGGUGUUGCGGGGAGACUGGACUGUUACUUUGAAAAAAUUAGAGUGUUUAAAGCAGGCUAACGCUUGAAUACAUUAGCAUGGAAUAACGGAAUAGGACGUUCGAUCUUAUUUUGUUGGUUUCUAAGAUUGACGUAAUGAUUAAUAGGGAUAGUUGGGGGCAUUAGUAUUCAAUUGUCAGAGGUGAAAUUCUUGGAUUUAUUGAAGACUAACUACUGCGAAAGCAUUUGCCAAGGAUGUUUUCAUUAAUCAAGAACGAAAGUUAGGGGAUCGAAGACGAUCAGAUACCGUCGUAGUCUUAACCAUAAACUAUGCCGACUAGGGAUCGGAUGAUGUUAAUUUUUUAAUGUACUCAUUCGGCGCCUU